UACGUAGGAUGCAAGAGUUGUCCGGGUUUAUGGGGUUUAAAGGGUGCGUUGGCGGCCUAUUAAGUUAGUGGUGAAAACGUUCGGCUUAACCGGAUACCCGCCAUUGAUACUGAUAGACUUGAGUGCGACAGAGGGUGUUGGAAUGUGUGGUGUAGCGGUGAAAUGCUUAGAUAUCACGCAGAACACCAAUUGCGAAGGCAGAUGCCUAUGUCGUAACUGACGCUGAGGCACGAAAGCGUGGGGAGCAAACAGG
rnacentral:rRNA from 1 species